rnacentral:misc_RNA from 1 species
CAGAGUUCGUGCCCUCACGGGGUAGAUCUCUCACCACCCUUGUGUAUUCUCUACAUCUUGUUGCUUUGGCAGGCCGUUGGUUCGCCAACCACCGGCUCGCGGGCUGGGUGCGUGCCUGCCAGAGGACCUCUCAAACUCGGUUUGUCAGUGUCGUCUGAGUACCAUAACAAUCGUUA